rnacentral:rRNA from 1 species
ACGGCGAGUGAAGCGGCAACAGCUCAAAUUUGAAAUCUGGCCCCCCGGCCCGAGUUGUAAUUUGCAGAGGAUGCUUCGGGCGCGGUGCCUUCCAAGUCCCCUGGAACGGGGCGCCGGAGAGGGUGAGAGCCCCGUACGGUUGGCGGCCAAGCCUGUGUGAAGCUCCUUCGACGAGUCGAGUAGUUUGGGAAUGCUGCUCUAAGCGGGAGGUAGACCCCUUCUAAAGCUAAAUAUAGGCCAGAGACCGAUAGCGCACAAGUAGAGUGAUCGAAAGAUGAAAAGCACUUUGAAAAGAGGGUUAAACAGCACGUGAAAUUGUUGAAAGGGAAGCGCUUGCGACCAGACGUGCGCCGGGGUGCUCAGCGGGCGUUCUCGCCCGUGCACUCGCCCCGGCGCAGGCCAGCGUCGGUUCGCGUGGGAGGAUAAAGGCGCCUGGAAUGUGGCUCCCCCGGGAGUGUUAUAGCCAGGCGUGCCAUGCUCCCCUGCGGACCGAGGUACGCGUUCUGCAAGGACGCUGGCGUAAUGGUCCCCAGCGACCCGUCUUGAAACACGGACCAAGGAGUCGAGGUUUUGCGCGAGUGUUUGGGUGUUAAACCCGCACGCGUAAUGAAAGUGAACGUAGGUGGGAGCUUCGGCGCACCACCGACCGAUCCUGAUGUUUUCGGAUGGAUUUGAGUAAGAGCGUAGGGCCUCGGACCCGAAAGAUGGUGAACUAUGCUUGGAUAGGGUGAAGCCAGAGGAAACUCUGGUGGAGGCUCGCAGCGGUUCUGACGUGCAAAUCGAUCGUCAA